UCGAGAAUCUUCCGCAAUGCACGAAAGUGUGACGGAGCGACGUCGCGUGAUGGAUGAAGUCCUUAGGGGCGUAAACAUCUUUUAUGAGGGAGGAAGUUUAUUGACGUUACCUCAUGAAUAAGGAGUUGCUAAACUCGUGCCAGCAGCAGCGGUAAUACGAGUGCUCCAAGCGUUAUCCGGAAUCACUGGGCGUAAAGGGUCUGUAGGCGGUCUUGUUAGUCUGAUGUUAAAACCCGAGGCUUAACCUCGGAGCGGCGUUGGAAACGGCAAGACUAGAGGAUGUGAGAGGUUGUUGGAACUCAUAGUGUAGGGGUGAAAUCCGUUGAUCUUAUGGGGAACACCAAAUGCGAAGGCAAACAACUGGCACAUUCCUGACGCUGAGAGACGAAAGCGUGGGUCGCGAAUGGGAUUAGAUACCCCCGUAGUCC
rnacentral:rRNA from 1 species